GACAGAGGGGGCAAGCGUUAUCCGGAUUCACUGGGUUUAAAGGGUGCGUAGGCGGGCAGGUAAGUCAGUGGUGAAAUCUCCAAGCUUAACUUGGAACUGCCGUUGAUACUAUCUGUCUUGAAUACUGUGGAGGUGAGCGGAAUAUGUCAUGUAGCGGUGAAAUGACUUAGAUAUGACAUAGAACACCAAUUGCGAAAGGCAGCUCACUACACAGCCAUUGACGCUGAGGCACGAAAGCGUGGGGAUCAAACAGG
rnacentral:rRNA from 1 species